AUUGAACGCUGGCGGCAUGCUUUACACAUGCAAGUCGAACGGCAGCGCGGGCUUCGGCCUGGCGGCGAGUGGCGAACGGGUGAGUAAUACAUCGGAACGUGCCCAGUAGUGGGGGAUAGCUCGGCGAAAGCCGGAUUAAUACCGCAUACGACCUGAGGGUGAAAGCGGGGGAUCUUCGGACCUCGCGCUAUUUGAGCGGCCGAUGGCAGAUUAGCUAGUUGGUGGGGUAAAGGCCUACCAAGGCGACGAUCUGUAGCUGGUCUGAGAGGACGACCAGCCUCACUGGGACUGAGACACGGCCCAGACUCCUACGGGAGGCAGCAGUGGGGAAUUUUGGACAAUGGGCGAAAGCCUGAUCCAGCAAUGCCGCGUGUGUGAUGAAGGCCUUCGGGUUGUAAAGCACUUUUGGCGGGAACGAAAAGGACUGUGCCAAUACCACGGUUCGAUGACGGUACCCGCAGAAUAAGCACCGGCUAACUACGUG
rnacentral:rRNA from 1 species